rnacentral:rRNA from 1 species
AUGGCUGGAAUCAACAUUACCAAGACCGGCGGUGGGUUUUCCAUCAGCAAGCCAAAGGCUGGUGCUCGCCCCAAGCCGACUCCUGUGGCCAGGGCUGCCGAGCUCCUAGUGUGCCGCAGCUUGGGUAUCGUCAAAGACGGAGAAGACGUCAUUGUUGCUGCGUUGGAUGCAUUUGCAGAUCGCUUCAAGGAUCAGCUGUCGCCGGAUGUGAUCGUGGCCAUGCGUGGGCUGUUCAAGCUUGAUGACAGCAGCGCGACGGAUGUCGAGGAGGCCCUCAUAGCACACGGAGGGGGAUGUGCCCUUGACCUGGAGCAGAAUGACACCGGCGCCGCGGCGCAGCAGGAGGCUAGCUGA